UUCUUUCUUUCUUUCUUUCUUUCUUUCUUUCUUUCUUUCUUUCUUUCUUUCUUUCCUUCUUUCUUUCUUUCUUUCUUUCUUUCUUUCUUUCUUUCUUUCUCUCUUUCUCUCUUUCUUUUCUUUUUCCUCUCUUUCCCCCCUUUCCUCCAUCUGUCCAUUCAUCUGUCCGUCCCUCCCUCCCUCCGUUCCUUCCUCCCUACCUUCUAUUUCCGUGCUAAAAAUUGACUCCAAGGCUUCAUUCACGCAAGGCAAAUACACUAACACAGAACUAGACCCCAGCCCUGGCUCUGCUUUUGAGCUCCCCACUACAUCCUAAAUUGGCCUUCCAUGUCUUGGAUUUGGUUUCUUUCCUUCCUUGUUUGAGGUGCACUGAUCUGAGGUGUGUGCCCCAGCUCCCAGGGCAGAUGAUGUCUUCCUUUGGGUGGUGGAUGAGAGGGGCAUUAUUGAGACAAGGGAACUGAGGCCUGGGGUAGAUGUGGGUUUCUUAGGGCCCACGUGAGAAGCUAGAACCAGGCCUCCUUUCCCAUUUUUGAGAGUUGUGAAGACUAGAAGGGACGGAAGGGUAGCUACUCGCAGGCCUGUAGACCCCUUGGUCAGUGUGGGGCCUCUGCCUCUCCCGCUCUCCACACACAGUGGCUGUGGGCCUCUUGUCUCUUGUAGGCUGUGGGAUCCUUCCUGGAGUCCAGGGCUGUACUUGAUAUUUCUGUGGCCUUCAUGACUGUACAGAAGAUCCUUACCAGGAUGUCCAGCUUGGAGGCCAUUGGGGUUCCAUAGGCUUGGGGGCUAGGUGCUCUCCUGCUGUGGACUGGGGAGUCAGUGCUGGCCCCUGUGCCCCUCACAGGUGAUUUGGAGGCAGGAACAUGAGUGAGUUCCUCUCUGCACUUCCUGGGGUGACCCAGGUGUCAGGUGAAGGCUUCCUUCUGCUCCUCCCAGCCACCCUUUCAACUGGGCUGUUCUGGAAGUUGGGUGUGAAGUACAGCUCUCCACCCCUCCCUAGGAAGAAGGAGCAGGACAGAGGGCUGUUCAGCAAUGGGACCCCACUAUGCUCUGUGAAGACCUGCUGAUUACUCCAAUGUCUCUGGCCCGAUGCACAGUGACCCUCAGGGUUCACUCAGGACAGAACCGUGUCACGCUCUAUUGAGAAGCCAAUCACAAGCUUCCUGGUAACCACUUUGUGAAGGGAUGGUGAAUUGGUGCCGCCCUGUAAUUUUCUGCAUGGCAGUCUCUCUGUCCUCCCCGGCCACUUCCCCCUGACCUCAGAGGUGGCUCUGUGCCCUGACACUGUGCCUUCUUAGGACCUGCACAAUGAACUACUGUCCAAGGGACAUGUCCCUUGUUCCUUGUUCUAGGCAGAAGCACCUGGUCUGGAUAGUGGAUACAUUUUCAGAAGGCCUCGCCUGGCUUACGGCGCACAGGCAAGGCUGUGAGGAUUUCUACCGUAACCAAGUGUUGACUGGGAAUCCAGCUCCUAGAUCUUGGUACUCAGGCCUCUGUUUCCUCCUUGGAGUGGAUCCUUUACCUUGGGAGGGCCACAUAAGCAGGAGGAAAUGUCCCUUCAGAAUCCAAUUUGACUUAAUCCCAGUUUGUGUCUUACUGGGCCUUGGGUAAGCAAUCUAACCUCUAAACUGUGUAGAGUGUUUAUGAGUUUUGUGCGUGUGUGUGAGAGUUUUGUGUAUGCAUGCUUGUGUGUGCCUGUGAAGGCCAGAGGUUGACAUCAAGUGUCUUCCUCAAUUGCUGUCUACCUUAUUAUUAUUAUUAUUAUUAUUAUUAUUAUUAUUAUUAUUAUUAUACAUAGGAUCUCUCACUGAGUUCAGAGCUCAUUAAUUGGCUAGAGGAGCUGGCUGACAAGGCCCUAGGUUCCUCCUGUCCAUGCCUCCCACCAGCACCGGGAUUAUAGGCACACAUCUAUGAUUUUUUGCAGUGUGUGUGUGUGUGUGUGUGUGUGUGUGUGUGUGUGUGUGUGUACUGAGGCUCUGAACUCAGGGCCUUGACUGACUAAGCCGUUGUUCUAAUUCCCUAAUUCCACUCUUUGAAUCUGUAAAGAAGGACCAGAAGAAUGUCAAUGAGGGAAGGGGCAGCUCCUGUUAUGUGCCUCCUCCUGUGCCCUUGGAGGGGUCCACAGAAUUAAUAAGCACUUGACAUUUGUUCUUAAUCCAAGCCCGUGGGAAGGUCACUGUUUCCGGUGUCCACGGUUCCUCCCUCAAAAUACAAGAAUACCCGCCCUUGUCCAUGGCAUCCUACCCAAGCCCUGUAGAUUGACUUUAACUCUUUCAUUAUCUCCAAAGGAAGACAAUGGCUGGGUGGGACACGGGAAAGUGCUAAGUGUGUGAUGUGUGAUGGAGUCACAUGGUCGUGUGUUGGCGAACAAAAUUCAUUCCUGUCCAAGUGUUUUCUUCUGUUAGAAGGCUUUUCCUGAGAUGCUGGCAGGUAAAAUGCUUCAGGAGAGUAGAGAGAAGACAGUUUGGUUUGAGAAGAAAGCCCCACUUCACCCUGAUCAGGAACUGUCCAUCUUCCUGAGAUGUUCUUAUACAGGUGGCCUUCCCCAUGUGGAACACACAGAAGCCACACAAAUAAGAAUGAGAAGGAAUGUUGAGACCUGAACACAACCAAGAGCAACUUCAGACUCUGGUCAGAAAGUGCCAGAGAAGAUCUCUCCGUAGAGCGUCUCCUUGGAUCCCGUUGGCAAGAAAAGCAAUCAAACCGAGGAGGCUCACGCAGUUGCUCGGCUGAAGCAGAAAUGGGGUGAAAUGGUUUUCAGGCAGGGAAAGAGAGAAAGAGAGAGCGAAAGAGCGGGGGUGGAAGGGAGGCAAAGAGAGAGAAAGAGAGGAAAGAGAGAGAUUCUAUCUCAGUCACGUGAAUUCAAAUUUUGUUUUCAUUGGGACUUUAGGUCAUCGGUGGCUCGCCUUAGGUAUCCCCUUCAAAUUAGUUAGCCUUUCCUCCUCCCGGCUCAGGUGGAAGCUUUCUGCCUGGCCCUUGCUCCCAGAUGAGGUGAGGGUGUGGCCUGCCAACUUGGCACCGUUCCUGUUUCCGUUUGUAUAAGACAGUUUUUGUGUGUGGUGGUAGUGGAGUUGGGGAGGUGUCCACACUGGAUAGAGUGUACUCCUAUACCCUUGGGCUUUACCCACAAGAAUCCAUAGCACAACCAUGACAACCAAAAUUAUCUUCAGGGAGCAGUGUUUCUCUCAUUUAAAAAUCCUUGGCUCAGAUAUUUAUAUUUUGUUUGCUAGGGUUGAAAAUACAGAGCAUUUUAAAAUUAAGUAUGCCAAUUUUUGUCUUACUUUAUGGUAAGCAAUUAGCUGGUUGUAAAUAAAAAUAAAAAUUCAAAAUUCAGACAACUAAAAAAGAGGCCCUAGUGAUGUAUUUAUUUGUUAUUGAUUUUUAUAUCAGAACCUGGAACUUUUUCCAAGGGAACUUUUGGGAAGAGCCUGCGUCAGGCAAUGCAAGAUGGCUGUGUGGCCAGUUUCCAUUUGGCUGGCUAGUAUCUUCGUAAGUCUCUGAGUCUUGAACUAUAAGUUUUUGUCAUUAAGUGUGGGUUAAUUUAGUGACUCAUCUCUGAGCUUCCUGAUGGGACUGAUGGUCUUAACAAUUGAACAGAGACAGGAUGAGCAGUACAAAUACGGAGUCAGAGAAUUUCCACUUAUGGUCAAAAUUCACAACA